AUUGAACGCUGGCGGCAGGCCUAACACAUGCAAGUCGAACGAGUGGCGGACGGGUGAGUAAUGUCUGGGAAACUGCCUGAUGGCGGGGGAUAACUACUGGAAACGGUAGCUAAUACCGCAUACCAUCGGAUGUGCCCAUAUGGGAUUAGCUAGUAGGUGGGGUAACGGCUCACCUAGGCGACGAUCCAUAGCUGGUCUGAGAGGAUGACCAGCCACACUGGAACUGAGACACGGCCCAGACUCCUACGGGAGGCAGCAGUGGGGAAUAUUGCACAAUGGGCGCAAGCCGGAUGCAGCCAUGCCGCGUGUAUGAAGAAGGCCUUCGGGUUGUAAAGUACUUUCAGCAGGGAGGCGUUACCCGCAGAAGAAGCACCGGCUAACUCCGUGCCAGCAGCCGCGGUAAUUC
rnacentral:rRNA from 1 species